UUGGAGAUGGUCUUAGAG
rnacentral:sRNA from 1 species